UUCACUCACCAGAAAACUUCAUUUGAAUUUGAGCGUGUGCACCUCGAACUUGCAUUCAUCAAAAUCAAGGGUAGGAUCCUUCUUGAUCCAUGUCGGGUGCAUCCAGAAGCCGAGUGUCGGGCGCAACCCCGACGCUCUACGGAUUGACAGGCUGGCAAUCGGGUGGGCGCUGGACCUGUACCCUCACCACGUCGCCGGGAGGACUCUCGGCUCACCAAAGUGACGAAAGCACUGCCCAGGUAGCAAACUGGCGGAGAACCAUUUUGGCCGGCGGCUUAGUGCGCCUUGAGCAGCAGGCGCCGAACUGACGGAUCACCCCCUGCGCUCAGGGUGUUUGAUGAAAUGCCGCUUGAGGUUAUCUAACUGAAGAGCAGGUUCCAUCACACCAGAAGUUUCCCAGGCGAUCGUCCCCAUGUUUCAUCUGCAGACCCCCUCUGUACUAGGAUAUCUCAUUUCCAGGUUUGUAUUUUCUUGUUGGCAUUUCUUUUUUUUUCUAUUGAUACACACUGAAAUGUGGAAUGUUUUCUAAAAGGUAAAACAUGUGGAAUGUUUCUUUUCUGUGAUCUUUACGCAUGUACAUGUUCAUGAUUAUUUUCUGCACCAAAUACUCUGAACUGGUUGUAUUACGUAAUUUCAGGUAUGAAUCUGAUCAAUACAUGUGCAAUGAAACCAUUAGUCGGUCUGUCGUAUUUAUUUCAGUUGUGGUUUCUGUGCUGGUGGUGACUCUACUUGUGCUUUCAUAUUCGAUCUGGACAGAAAAUAAAACUUAAUAACGUGUGUGCUCUUAUAUUGCUAUAACAUGUAUUAUUGAUUAUUAAGGGUUUACUGUCUUGCUAUUUAUGCUAUAUAUCUUUUUUUAGAAUAAUUUAUGCUAAAUAUCUGACAUUUGUGCCACCAGUUUCUACACAAGAUCCUCCCAGAGUGGAAAAGGUCAGAAAAUUUUCAUGCGAACCACCUGCAAAAUAAUACGAAUUUCCGGUUCACACCACUUUGACCUGGAGAAGUUUAUGAAUAAGUUCUAAAGUUUCAUUGGAGAAGGAGCAUUUGGGCUACUAUACUAUGGCCGUUUAGAAGAUGACACUAAGCAUGCUGUCAAGAUGCAUUCUGAAUCUGUCUCACUCUCGCAUGGAAUUGAUGAGUUUUUAGCAGAGUUGCCAAAUUAUUAACUUUACUGUCAGGGCCCUCUACUGCUGUUUCAGUUAAAAAGAAGUUACCAAAUUGUGCACCUAAAAACUUCAUGAUUUCAGGAUCUUGUCGACCUUAAUAAAAUUUACUGUUGAGGCCUCCCCUACAGUUUCAGUUCAAAAUAGUUAUAAAAUUAUGCACCUAAAAAAGUUCAAGAUUUCAGAAUCUUCCAAUGGUGUAUGUGUCAUACAUAGGACAACUUGUCAUUUCUCCUCGGGUGAGAAACAAUUGAAGUUUGUAAUGUAGGCUCAGCGAGUUGCAUUUGCAGUGAGAUUACUGAAACAUUAAGAGAUUUUCUUUAUGUUCUUUGUGCCCACUAUACUUGGAGUCUAAUCAGGCACUUAAAUGUUCAGUCUCUAUAUAAUCUGAAUGCUGAAAGGGUUACUAGUAAGUGAUAUUUUCUGUUUGUAAUUGACAUCUAUGGUCCAUUGACACAGUUGAUCAAAUUAGAUAAUUUCUUGCUACAUUUCAUAAAACUGAAUUUUCAUGAAUGCUCAUUUUAUUUUUCAGGCAUCUGCCAUUGUCUAUCUCUGCAGCUUGAUAGUAUCUCCUGUUACACGUCUGAGUAUCUAAGUUUAAAUUACUAUUUUCUUCCUCAACUCAAUGAAUUUUUUUUUUACUAUGUCAAUGAGGGUUUUUUUCUUUGGAGGAACCAACUCAAUGGAAUUCUACACUGUUUAUGGGAGACUAGAUGGUUGAGUUGACCAUUAUGUCUCCGCUGGAGCAAUGCUUUGGAUAUUGUCCGGUGUUAGGAUUGUUUUUUUUACAACUUCAUAAUUUAUGCCCCGUCAGUCGCAAUAGGAGCUGCCAGUGCAUUUAUGACGGUCAGUGGUAUCGGCGAUGGAAGGCGAUUUAGUAGGAGAAGAUCCAAAUGGUCGUGCUUUUAUGUGUGGCUCAAUAAUAAUCAUGUGGCAUGCCUUAAUGCCUUUGUAUAUUCUGAAGUCCCAUCUUAGAGCUCAUCAUCAUCAUCAUAAGAGAAUUUAGUACUCUUAUUACAGUAUAAUGAGAGUUCUAUUUUUGCAUGGCAGGAAGCACCAAAGAUGAGGGAGAAUCCUGCGAAGACCUCUAGUGGAGGCAGAGCGUCUUCUUGAGUACUAAUUCUUGCUGGUAGCGCUUGCACUGCAGAUCAUCACUCAUGUACAUGUUCCAUGGAGCUAUUAACAACCUGCCACGUGGGAAAACAAAUUCAGACACACAUGAUCGAUUGGUUCCCUUAUACUAUAUAUAGUCUGGAUAAAUGUUAGAGGGCCAACAUAGAAGGGCACUCAGCAAGAUUUUGAGUAUAAAUUAGAAGUAGCACAGAAGUUGAAACCUACUAAUAGUCAUACCUCAUAUGUAGCUGUAUAAAUUCAUAACCUUGUAACUGUUAAUGUAGCUUAAUCACAUUGUUACAAAUACAGUGUGGUGUUUACUUAGGGCUUUGUUUUGCAUGAUUGAUUUCACCAUCUGGUUUCCAGAUUAGGGACUGAAAACAGGAACAAAGCCUUGUCUGCUAUCAUGUGCUAUUUUUGGCAGAUUAGGCAGUUGGUUUCAUCCCU